GGGCGCAUAGCUCAGUUGGUAGAGCAGCUGACUCUUAAUCAGCGGGCCCAAGGUUCGAGUCCUUGUGCGCCCA
rnacentral:tRNA from 1 species